rnacentral:rRNA from 1 species
AUGGUAGUUACACCAUGGCAGCUUUCUUACUUAGAUGGCAUUUUCUUUAUGGACGGGGUUGGCAAAUAUUGGAGGGGUGAGGUGGUAGUUUUAGUGUGGGCAACACGACAUUUUCUGGACAUGGCAAUUUUUGUUUUGGUUCAUAAGCAAAUUCAUGUUUGUUUUAGUGUCACCACUACUACUUUUGCCAUGCCACCUUAUUUUACCAUGGAAAAUUUGCUAAGCUUUUUGCCAUUGCAAAAAAGUUUAGCACUGUUUGUGCAAUGCCAAUUUGUUUUUCAGUUAUUUGCCAUGUCUCUAUUAUAG